rnacentral:rRNA from 1 species
UACAGAGGGUGCAAGCGUUAAUCGGAAUUACUGGGCGUAAAGCGCGCGUAGGUGGUUCGUUAAGUCUGAUGUGAAAGCCCUGGGCUCAACCUGGGAAUGGCAUUGGAAACUGGCGAGCUGGAGUGUGGCAGAGGGGGGUGGAAUUCCGCGUGUAGCAGUGAAAUGCGUAGAGAUGCGGAGGAACACCGAUGGCGAAGGCAGCCCCCUGGGCUGACACUGACGCUCAGGCACGAAAGCGUGGGGAGCAAACAGG